GAUCAAGUUCUUCUAUUGAGAGUCCUGAUAGGAUGUUGGUCGUGAAAACUCAUCAAAUCUUAGGCAUCCAUCAUAUACUAGACUUAAUUAGCUUGAGUCCAAUCAUGAAUCCCGUAGAAACUCCUUUCUAUUAUCAUGCUGCUAUAGCCAUAGACUUAAUGACUCAGCCUCUUGGAUCGCAUAGGACUACUCUUUAACUACUAAGGCCGAUAGAUCUCCUACAAGUGCACUUCUACUCCCAUAGCA
rnacentral:lncRNA from 1 species